CUCUUCAACUCCCAUUCCCAUAGAAUCCUCCUUGAGAAUUAACCAGAAAGAAUAUCACUGUUGAGUAGUGAAUUCUCCACUAUAAUCUUAUGAAUCCUUGUGGCCGUCUUCAAUUAUCCACCAAGUGAAAAGAAGUAUAUCUGCCCCCUUCGCUAAUCCAGUUCAGCAAUGUAACAGCUUUGGGUGAAAGAUUGUUGAUACUUCAUUGGAGAAUACGAUGGGGAAAGAGUUUUGUGGAAAGGUUAAUAAAUACUUGAAGGAAUUGCUGGGGAAGAAGGGAUUAAAGGAAUUGCUGUGAAAUUCCUAUAAAGAGAACUUGUUUAUGUUUUUGCUUUCAAUUGCCUCCUUCCUCAUUUGUAUUUCCUUCUACUGUGUGAAUGUUUGUUUUACAGUAAUCAUAAUCAGUCAAACACUUGGAAACAUGCGAUUGUUUGGGGAAUGGAGUGAUUUCUGAGAUCAGAAACCUACGGAAUGAAUAGGAUGGGUAUCAAGGCGAUUCAACUAUCAACGGUUUGUUCUACAACGUUAACAAAAAGUCAGCUGAAGGUUUCACUGGACGAGGUUUAUAGAUCUAAGGUCAGGAAAAUUGCAACUCCGUUACCUCCAAAGGAGACAUUCUUAGACGAUCCUCUACCAGUACUUCGCGUUGUUCGAUUUGGUACCAAAUUGUUUGGGAUUACUGAUCUUAAGCUUCCCGGGUGUGAGUGGUUUUGUGAUGAGGAGUUAAA